CCCUUAGAUGUUCUGGGCUGCACGCGUGCUACAAUGGCGCUUGCAACAAGUCUUGCCAACCCGAUAGGGUGAGCGGAUCUUUGAAGAGGCGUCGUGAUCGGGACAGUUGAUUGCAAUUAUUCGACUCGAACGAGGAAUUCCUUGUAAUCGCGAUUCAUCAUAUCGCGCUGAAUACGUCCCUGCCCUUUGUACACACCGCCCGUCGCUCCUACCGAUUGAGCGAUCCGGUGAAUGUUUUUGACUGGCGUCAGAAGCGGUUCGCUCCUGACACUACGAAAUUUUGUAAACCUUAUCGCUUAGAGGAAGGAAAAGUCGUAACA
rnacentral:rRNA from 1 species